rnacentral:rRNA from 1 species
UACGUAGGGGGCGAGCGUUGUCCGGAAUUAUUGGGCGUAAAGAGCUCGUAGGCGGCUUGUCGCGUCGACUGUGAAAACCUAGGGCUCAACCCUGGGCCUGCAGUCGAUACGGGCAGGCUUGAGUGUGGUAGGGGAGACUGGAACACCUGGUGUAGCGGUGAAAUGCGCAGAUAUCAAGUGGAACACCAGUGGCGAAGGCGAAUCCCUGGAAAAUACCUGACACUGAGGCACGAAAAGCUAGGGGAGCAAACAGG